UACGGAGGGUGCGAGCGUUGUUCGGAAUUACUGGGCGUAAAGCGCGUGUAGGCGGCCUUCUAAGUCUGGUGUGAAAGCCCGGGGCUCAACCCCGGAAGUGCAUUGGAUACUGGGAGGCUGGAGUACCGGAGAGGAGGGUGGAAUUCCUGGUGUAGCGGUGAAAUGCGUAGAUAUCAGGAGGAACACCGGUGGCGAAGGCGGCCCUCUGGACGGAUACUGACGCUGAGACGCGAAAAGCAUGGGGGAGCGAACAGG
rnacentral:rRNA from 1 species